GCUUUAAUACUUUGAGAGUUUACGAAGCUGUAAAGACUGAGUAUUUUCUCCGCAUGGACUAUCUACCAGUUGAGGGCCAGUGAGGAUCGGGUGGAACUGGGGAGGCUAGCUGCUGUCAUUCUGCAGUGUCACAGUGUGCGGUGUGUGUGGAUACAACUUCCCAUUGGUGGGUGUGUGUGAUGGUUGCUUUGGUGUGAAUUUAGGUGGGUUUUUGGAUAACCAUUCUGAGUUGCAGCCGGCCUGCCUGGUUCCCACUAAUCCUGGCCCUGGGAAUUACACCUCCCUUAUUGUGGAAAUGGUUUGUGUGAGAGAGUUUUAAAUCUAUGGGUGUGUUUUUAUAAUAAAAUCCAAUCUUUUGUAUUCUCGCCCCCGUCUCCCCUACUUUGCCUUCAUUUGGUGAAACUUACCUGUGUCCUUUAAUGGGAAUAAAUUCUCUGGUUUCCCACCAGGGUGGCGUAGUCGGAUAAAUUCACUGAUUAACCUUUCCUUUCAUGUGAUACCGCCACACAUGC